rnacentral:lncRNA from 1 species
AUGUGUGUCCAGAUCUAAGCCCUGCCGUCUACUAGCUUGGUGAUCUUGGGGUCUCACUCUGUUGCCUACAUUGGAGUGCAGUGGCACAAUCAGGGCUUACUGCAACCUUGACUCAAGCGAUCCUCCCACCUCAGCCCACUCAAAUAGCUGGGACUACAGGCCUGCACCACCAGCUGGGCUAAUAGACAAGGCUUCACCAUGUUGCCCAGGCUGGUCUCAAACUCCUGGACUCAAAUAAUCCACCCACCUCAGCCUCCCAAAGUGUCAGAAUUACAGGCAUGAGCCACUGCACCCGGCUGAUAACUUUUCUUUUUCAUAGCUAUUUCGUUCUCUAUUUUGUGGAUGCACCAUAAUUGAUUUAACAAGUCCCCUGUUGAUGGAUAUUUGUUAUUGUUUUUCUCUCUUUUUUUCUUUUCAAUUUGUAUGGGUUCAUAGUAGGUUUAUAUAUUUAUGGGUUAUGUGAGAUAUUUUGAUACAGGCAUACAAAGCCAAAUAAUCACUUCAGGAUAAAUGGAGUGUUCAUCACCUCAAGCGUUUCUUUGUGUUAGAAAUAUUCCAAUUAUACUCUUUUAGUUAUUUUUAAAUGUACAAUAAAUUUUUGUUGACUGUAGUCACCCUGUUGUGCUAUCAAAUACUAGAUUUUAUUCAUUCUAACUAUAUUUUAGUAACCAUUAACCAUCCUCAUUUUCCUCCCCACCCCCACUACCCUUCCUAGCCACCAAUAACCAUUAUUCUUUUCUUUAUCUUCAUCAGUUCAAUUGUUUUAAUUUUUAGCUCCCACAAAUGAGUGAGAACAUGUGAAAUUUAUCCUUCCAUGCCUGGCUUAUUCCAUUUAACAUAAUAUCCUCCAGUUCCAUCCAUGUUGUUGCAAAUGAUAAGAUCUCAUUUUUUAUGGCUGAAUAGUACUUCAUUGUGUGUGCACCACAUUUUUUUUUAAUUUUACUUUAAGUUUCAGAAUACAUGUGCAGAACAUGCAGGUUUGUUACAUAGGUAUACAUGUGCCAUGGUGGUUUGCUGUACCUAUCAACCCGUCAUCUAGGUUUUAAGCCCCACAUGCAAUAGGUAUUUGUCCUAAUACUCUCCUUCCCCUUGCCCUCCACCCCGCAACAGGCCCUGGUAUGUGUUGUUUCCCUCUCUGUGUCCAUGUGUUCUCAUUGUUCAAUUUCCACU